rnacentral:rRNA from 4 species
AAGGCUAAAUACUCCUGACUGACCGAUAGUGAACCAGUACCGUGAGGGAAAGGCGAAAAGAACCCCGGCGAGGGGAGUGAAAAAGAACCUGAAACCGUGUACGUACAAGCAGUGGGAGCCCCACCACUAAGCCAGUGGUGAACUCCACAUCCGCAUCCUUUGCUGAGGAUACGGUUAACGGAGCGAAAGCGACGUUCAACCGCAAAACAAGCAGAGGGGGCUUAGUGGUGGGGUGACUGCGUACCUUUUGUAUAAUGGGUCAGCGACUUAUAUUCUGUAGCAAGGUUAACCGAAUAGGGGAGCCGGAGGGAAACCGAGUCUUAAUUGGGCGUUAAGUUGCAGGGUAUAGACCC